UACGGAGGGGGCUAGCGUUGUUCGGAAUUACUGGGCGUAAAGCGCGCGUAGGCGGAUCUGCAAGUCGGGGGUGAAAUCCCGAGGCUCAACCUCGGAACUGCCUUCGAUACUGCGGGUCUCGAGUCCGGGAGAGGUGAGUGGAACUGCGAGUGUAGAGGUGAAAUUCGUAGAUAUUCGCAAGAACACCAGUGGCGAAGGCGGCUCACUGGCCCGGAACUGACGCUGAGACGCGAAAGCGUGGGGAGCAAACAGG
rnacentral:rRNA from 1 species